AAAAAGGGCAGUGAUCACAACCAUCUGGAUUGUCCCUGUGAAGGUAAGGCCAGAUGACACCAUCUGAAGCAGUCCGCCUGCAACAUUCGACUUGCUUGAGAGGGCUUCCACAGCUGCAAGGCACAUCCUUAUUGAUAAGGCACUGUACAUCAGGCAACAGUAGCAUUCUCUGAUAAACCCGUUUUUGCAGUUCGCUCAUCGCACAAAAAACAACAUUAUCUUCCUUCCCUAACAU
rnacentral:misc_RNA from 1 species